rnacentral:rRNA from 1 species
AGCAGCCGCGGUAAUUCCAGCUCCAAUAGCGUAUAUUAAAGUUGUUGCAGUUAAAAAGCUCGUAGUUGAAUUUCGGGGUUAGUAGGUUGGUCAUGCCUCUGGUAUGUACUGGCCUCACUGAUUCCUCCUUCCUGAUGAGCCGUAAUGCCAUUAAUUUGGUGUUGCGGGGAAUUUGGACUGUUACUUUGAAAAAAUUAGAGUGUUUAAAGCAAGCUAACGCUUGAAUACAUUAGCAUGGAAUAAUGAAGUAGGACGUUCGAUCCUAUUUUGUUGGUUUCUAGGAUUGACGUAAUGAUUAAUAGGGAUAGUUGGGGGCAUUAGUAUUCAAUUGUCAGAGGUGAAAUUCUUGGAUUUAUUGAAGACUAACUACUGCGAAAGCAUUUGCCAAGGAUGUUUUCAUUAAUCAAGAACGAAAGUUAGGGGAUCGAAGACGAUCAGAUACCGUCGUAGUCUUAACCAUAAACUAUGCCGACUAGGGAUCGGAUGAUGUUAAUUUUUUAAUGACUCA